rnacentral:rRNA from 1 species
GAUGAACGCUGGCGGCGUGCCUAAUACAUGCAAGUCGAGCGAACAGACGAGGAGCUUGCUCCUCUGACGUUAGCGGCGGACGGGUGAGUAACACGUGGAUAACCUACCUAUAAGACUGGGAUAACUUCGGGAAACCGGAGCUAAUACCGGAUAAUAUAUUGAACCGCAUGGUUCAAUAGUGAAAGACGGUUUUGCUGUCACUUAUAGAUGGAUCCGCGCCGCAUUAGCUAGUAGGUAAGGUAACGGCUUACCAAGGCAACGAUGCGUAGCCGACCUGAGAGGGUGAUCGGCCACACUGGAACUGAGACACGGUCCAGACUCCUACGGGAGGCAGCAGUAGGGAAUCUUCCGCAAAGGGCGAAAGCCUGACGGAGCAACGCCGCGUGAGUGAUGAAGGUCUUCGGAUCGUAAAACUCUGUUAUUAGGGAAGAACAAAUGUGUAAGUAACUAUGCACGUCUUGACGGUACCUAAUCAGAAAGCCACGGCUAACUACGUG